rnacentral:rRNA from 1 species
AUUGAACGCUGGCGGCAGGCUUAACACAUGCAAGUCGAGCGAGCGGCAGACGGGUGAGUAAUGUCUGGGAAACUGCAUGAUGGCGGGGGAUAACUACUGGAAACGGUAGCUAAUACCGCAUACCAUCAGAUGUGCCCAGAUGGGAGUAGCUUGUAGGUGGGGUAAUGGCUAACAUAGGCGACGAUCCCUCGCUGGUCUGAGGGGAUGACCAGCAACACUGUAACUGAGACACGGUCCAGACUCCUACGGGAGGCAGCAGUGGGGAAUAUGGCACAAUGGGCGCAAGCCUGAUGCAGCCAUGCCGCGUGUGUGAAGAAGGCCUUCGGGUUGUAAAGCACUUUCAGCGAGGAGGCGUUACCCGCAGAAGAAGCACCGGCUAACUCCGUGCCAGCAGCCGCGGUAAUAC